GGGGAAUCUUGCGCAAUGGGGGAAACCCUGACGCAGCGACGCCGCGUGCGGGAUGAAGGCCUUCGGGUUGUAAACCGCUUUCAGCAGGGACGAAAUUGACGGUACCUGCAGAAGAAGGCCCGGCCAACUACGUGCCAGCAGCCGCGGUAAUACGUAGGGGCCUAGCGUUGUCCGGAAUUAUUGGGCGUAAGGAGCUCGUAGGCGGUUCGGCAAGUCGGAUGUGAAAUCUCCACGCUUAACGUGGAGGGGCCAUUCGAAACUGCUGUGACUCGAGUCCGGUAGGGGAGUGUGGAAUUCCCGGUGUAGCGGUGAAAUGCGCAGAUAUCGGGAGGAACACCAGUAGCGAAGGCGGCACUCUGGGCCGGUACUGACGCUGAGGAGCGAAAGCGUGGGGAGCGAAC
rnacentral:rRNA from 1 species